UGCUGGUCCAAAGUAGUGAGUUAUCUCAGUUCAUGUUCAAUGGUCAGUUAUAGAUUAAACUUCUUGUUUUGCUUUUUCCCCCGUUCUUAGUACUGCUUUUGACUAUUAAAAA
rnacentral:Y_RNA from 1 species